rnacentral:rRNA from 1 species
GUGGGGAAUAUUGGGCAAUGGGCGCAAGCCUGACCCAGCAACGCCGCGUGAAGGAAGAAGGCUUUCGGGUUGUAAACUUCUUUUACCAGGGACGAAACAAAUGACGGUACCUGGUGAAUAAGCCACGGCUAACUACGUGCCAGCAGCCGCGGUAAUACGUAGGUGGCGAGCGUUAUCCGGAUUUAUUGGGUGUAAAGGGCGUGUAGGCGGGACAGCAAGUCAGAUGUGAAAACCAGAGGCUCAACCUCUGGCCUGCAUUUGAAACUGUUGUUCUUGAGUGUCGGAGAGGUAAUCGGAAUUCCGUGUGUAGCGGUGAAAUGCGUGGAUAUACGGAGGAACACCAGUGGCGAAGGCGGAUUACUGGACGAUAACUGACGCUGAGGCGCGAAAGCGUGGGGAGCAAACAGGAUUAGAAACCCUUGUAGUCC